rnacentral:tRNA from 1 species
GCCUGGCUGGCUCAGUUGGUUGAGCGACUGACUUCGGCUCAGGUCAUGAUCUCACGGUUUGUGAGUUUGUGAGUUCGAGCCCCGCGUCGGGCU